GCUACUAAAACACCCCUUCUGGAGUAGAAGCUGCUGGAAGGCAGGCCUGAGCCAUUCACCACGGACAGGAAGAGCAGCCCUGGCUAUCACCACUCGCCUCUGGGGUUUUCAUAUCUUGCCAUCUCAUCCAGGGUUCCGUGAGUUACCCAGGGUCCUCAUGUCCUUCCUUAGAGCCUGAGUGGUGUGAGGUGACAGGUCUCUCUCUCUCCACUGCCCCUUUCUGGUUUAAAAAAAUGGUCCUUACCUCUGAUCCACUUAGAGCAAUAACCACUUUUUAAAUGUAAAAUAAAAAGACAAAUGAAAAGGCA
rnacentral:sRNA from 1 species